GGGAUUUAGUUAAUUUUUUUAUGUACACAUUGUCCUUAUGAGCUGUGCUAUGUUUUUUCAGGUAGCUAGGAAGCCUGAACACUAUGGUGCUUAAUGUCCAUCUCAAGUCAGAUGAAUGAUGUAUAUAACUGUCACAUAAGGGUGCCAGGAAUUUCCCAGAAAUCGCAUCUGCAAUCCCUUUGUGACAGCCUCAGGAUGUUUCCCAUCUCCUCCUCUCCAUUCAAAGAUGGAUCAUUGCUGCCCCAUGCACUCUCCUGCCUGUCCAGGUAUGAGCCAAACUCUCUCUGUAAACUAUUAUUAAAGACUAUCAAGGCUCUGCUAA